rnacentral:snRNA from 1 species
GUCCCUUCGGGGACAUCCGAUAAAAUUGGAACGAUACAGAGAAGAUUAGCAUGUCCCAUUCGCAAGGAUGACACAAAUCGAGAAAUAGUCCAAAUUUUG